GCCAGCACACGGUGCCCAGAGCCUGAGCAGGGCUGCCUGCCCUGCAAUGGGUACCCAGCUGAGGGCUCUGGGCCUCGCCCACCAGCCCUCCUCGCACUCCAGCUCCCAGACGCCCGGGCCUGGGACGGCGUGGUGGACCGCAGGAGUGUUGGGGCUCACCGGAUGGUGCCGCUGAAGAGGACGGGGUCCUGCAGGAUGAUGGAGAGGCGGGAGCGCAGGGUGUGCAGUGGCAGUUUGGCGAUGUCGAUGCCGUCGAUGAUGAUGCGCCCUGUGUGGAGACAGUAACACAGGACUGGGGUCCUACCUGGUGGCUUCGGGCACAUGUGGGGUGCCUGUCACACCACUCACCUUCGAACAUGUCCACCAUGCGGAAGAAGGCGAGAGAGAAGGAGGACUUCCCACUGCCUGUGCGGCCGCAGAUCCCAAUCUGGAAAGAGGAGCAGGGAUACGGAGCCCGUGGAUGCGCUUCACGGCCCCCAGCUGGAUCUCCAUGUCUGCCAGGUUCCUCACCAUCCAGUUGAGGUAGUUGGAGACCUGCGGGGAGUCAGCGAGCGCUUGGCCCAACCCCGGCCACCAGGAUGGCUCUUCUGUGUGGGCCGGGGGCCCUUAGUGUCUUCUGCUGGCUCUUCAGGGGUCUCUCUUGGAGGCCCAGGGGGUUACAACGAACAUGGAUCCUGACUCACUACCCGUCUGGGGCCCUGGCCCUGGGUUAGCCCUCCUACCCACAGGGUCUUGCCUGCAUCAGACUCACAGGAGCUUGGGGUAGGGCCUGGAGGGCGUCUCUGAGAUUCCCCGAGUGCUGACAUCUGAGCCCUCCGCUGUCCCGGUCUGCUGCUGCUACUCACCAUUA